rnacentral:rRNA from 1 species
GCAGUCGCACGAGAACGCUUCAGCUUGCUGGAGCUAGUAAAGUGGCGUUACGGGUUGUAGUAACGCGUUGGGUAAUCUAUCUUCCGAAUUGGGGAUAACAUUGCGAAAGCGAUGCUAAUACCGGAUAAAAUCCAUUAAACCUCGGUUUUUUUGGAUCAAAGGUGGCCUCUACAUGUAAGCUACUGUUUGGAGACGAGCUCGCGUACCAUUAGCUUGUUGGUAGGGUAAUGGCCUACCAAGGCAACGAUGGUUAGCUGGUCUGAGAGGAUGAUCAGCCACACUGGAACUGACACACGGUCCAGACUCCUACGGGAGGCAGCAGUGAGGAAUUUUGCGCAAUGGGGGAAACCCUGACGCAGCAACGCCGCGUGAGUGAUGAAGGCUUUCGGGUCGUAAAACUCUGUCAAGUGGGAAGAACCCGUGCCGUACAAAUAGUGCGGUGCGCUGACGGUACCACUGAAGGAAGCACCGGCUAACUCCGUGCCAGCAGCCGCGGUAAUACGGGGGGUGCAAGCGUUAUUCGGAAUCAUUGGGCGUAAAGAGCGCGUAGGCGGUCUUCUAUGUCAGGUGUGAAAGCCCGGGGCUCAACCCCGGAAGUGCAUUUGAAACUGGGAGACUUGAGUAUGGGAGAGGGAAGUGGAAUUCCUGGUGUAGCGGUGAAAUGCGUAAAUAUCAGGAGGAACAC